ACGCGGCCGUCCGCCUCGUCAUCCAUCAUGAAGUUGACGUAGGCGCCCGGGAGAUUGAACGGGUGCACCGCCUUCCAAUAGCCGCGCCCCCACGCCUUCAACGCCUCCGCGUGUGUUGGAUCCGAAUCGAUGCCGGCAAUGACCAUUGACCAAGUGGCGUCGCGCGCGCUCCAGGGGGUCGCCUCGCGGGUGACGCGUCGCACGGCUCCGUCGAUCGGAUACAGGUGCAUCAGGCACAACUCGCUCGGCGCGGCCGACGCCUGCGCGAUGUGCAAAUCGAUCGCCUCGUCUGGAAGCGUCUUCACAAAGUCGCCCUUCCAGUACCACUGAAGGCCCUUGGGGAAGAACGGGUCGAACAUCGCCUGGAGCACCGGGAACGGCAUGACGCCCAUCCAGUUGAAGAGCGGCGGCGGAACAGCCUCGAGCAGCGGGCCGAUUACCCUUUCGCCGUCGCUUUGCGAGCCGCUGUAACUGCAGAUGACGGCACAGGCGCGUUUGCCCCAGAAGUCGCGCGGAAACGGAUCCAUCGACGGCACGGUCUUGAGCCCGAUGAAUGCGCCGAGUUCCUCGGGUGCUCCCGGCAAGAAAUCGCGGUAGGCGCGCAUCACCGCCUUUGCGUCGGUGGCAUUCCAAAAGAUCGGACCAGCGUAGACCAUAUUGACCGGAUGCGCCUGGAACAGGAAGCUCGUGACGACGCCGAAGUUGCCGCCACCGCCGCGCAGCGCCCAGAACAGAUCCGGUUGCACGCUCCGGCUGGUGGUGACGACGCUGCCGUCGGCCAGGACGACGUCCGCUUCCAGCAGAUUGUCGAUCGUGAGCCCGUACUUGCGGGUGAGGUAGCCGGUGCCGCCGCCGAGCGUCAGGCCCGACACACCGGUCGUCGAGACGAUACCGAAGGGAACGGCCAGGCCGAACGCGUGGGUGACAUGGUCGACGUCGCCUGACGUGCAACCGGGAUCGACCCUGACGGUGCGGCCCGCGGGAUCGACGCGCACGCCUUUCAUCAUCGAUAGAUCGACCAUCAGGCCGUCGUCGCAGCUGCCGAGACCCGGGCCAUUGUGUCCGCCACCGCGAAUCGCGAUGAGCCAUCCCUGCUCGCGGC
rnacentral:misc_RNA from 1 species